GAAUUUUUAGUUUCAAGAUGUUGUUAUAUGAUAGUGGAUCUCAUGUUACUUAAGUGGGCUGAUUUUUAAUCAUGCCUAUUUGAUUGAACUACACUGUUGAUUACAUCAUUCAUCAACGACAAGUCUUCCCUCAAUGCCUGAUUUUUCAAUUUCAAUAGUUGUUUAUAUACUUGAGCUUUUUUUUCUCCCAUAAUAACAAUCUUAGUUUGCCACAUCAAACUCAUCUUUGACAAGAUCAUCAUUGAGAUAUGUGUGUAGCACUCUGAGUUCAAUUGAAACAGAAAGAAUAAAUUUAUCUAAAAGACGUAGUCUAAGAUAUGUUCGGUGUUCUAUCAUCUUUAUUUUUGUGACUUUUAGUUUAAAUCAUGAUCUAGAAUUAUUUUCUCUUUGAAAUUUCAUUGAAUUUGAAAAUUAGGUUUGUAUUUGUUGUUUCUUUCAUAUUUGAUUGAAUCUGAACAAAUAAAAAAAACUAUUUUCUUAGUGGAUUUGUUAUCAAUUGUGGUAUGUUUAGUUUUGCUAGUUGCACUACUUGCUUUUAAAUAAGUGUACUUUUGAACCCAAUAUGGUUUCAGGAAAGAUUUCUGUUAUGGUUGUUGCUAGCUGGUCUUGGAAGUUGGGGUUUUCCCUUUCUUUUUGGUUUGAUGAAUGAUGAAAGCUGUCUCUUCUUUUACGUUCUUUCUUCAUCAUACUCUUUUUUUUUUUUUAUCUCUUUUGCUUCAAACUUGAUUCUUUAUUAAUUUAAUUGUUGGUGUAAUUGAUAUCAAAUUUGUCAAUAGAGCACAACAAUCGAUGACUAUAACUUUGCUAUUAUUUGGCGUAAAGCAUACAAAUAAGAAACUAACCUUUCUGUUUUGACGUGUUAAUUGAAGCCAUGAUUUCAUUAAGGGAUUGGGGAAUUUGGUGAAAACUUAAAGGGCACACAUUAAAUUUUUUAGAGAUUAUUGAAAAUGCUUUUAAAGAGAAGCAAGCUAUGUGCCAUUAAGUUUUUGUGAAAGUGGCACCAUUUCUCUAAGCCUUAUCAUAUUCCCAUCCAUUUCAAGGCUCCUCAAAGGAUUCUCUCACAUACCGUUAGAAGGUGAGCUUCUUCUUUAAUAAAUUUGAGUCUUUUUUUACUUGACUUUCUAUUUUAUUGUUCAGAAAGGAGUUUUAUGUUUUUUUAGUUUGGUCUGGUUAGUUAUAGAAAAUGAUAUUUAGAUUGUUACGAGGAUAGUCCAUGUUACAAUUUGUGAAAUGUUGUAUUUUUAGAGAUGUAUUAUUAACUUUAAAGAUUAUUGAUCCAUGACCAGUUAGCGUUGGUAAAUUCUAAGCUUUAAUGAUUAUGGGCCUGUUUUUUACUUCGUUAAUUCUUGGCUGAGAUGAUUUCUUUUCAGGUUUCCUCCAUGCUUUUUUUCUUUUAGAGUUCUUUGUUAUCUCAUUUGAUUUUCUUAUUUCCUGUGUAGGUUUUUUUGUAAUCAUACUAACAGGUUUAUGAUGUAGGCAUUUUUAGUUAUGACAUUGUUGGGGCUAAUCUUCUUAAGGAGAAUAGGUGAGUUGUGAUUGAAGAAUUUGCUGGGGCUGAUCUUCUUGAGGAGAAUAGGAACUUUGUAGGUUUUGUUGCGUCUUUUUAAUUUGCCUUUGUGACUCUAACUUUUGCUUAAUGGCAAGGUUCACCUUCAUUGUCUUUCUUCAACUUUAAGCGAAUAGGGAUUAAUACAUCAGUUAUGUUUUCUUGGUCAUUGUUUUAUAGAAGUAUUACACUUAACCAGAAGUAAGCACUUAAGUAUUUGUUGUUUCUUUCAUAUUUGAUUCAAUUUGAAGAAAAAAAAUUAUUUUCUCAUAUGGGAAAUAACAAUGAAUAUAUAACUGCUUUGAAUAGUGCUUUGUCAA